CGAACGGGUGAGUAACGCGUGAGUAGCCUGCCCUGGAGUGGGGGGACGAACAGUUGGAAACGACUGCUAAUACCGCAUAAGCCCACGGAUCCGCAUGGAUCUGCGGGAAAAGGAUUUAUUCGCUUCAGGAUGGACUCGCGUCCAAUUAGCUAGUUGGUGAGGUAACGGCCCACCAAGGCGACGAUUGGUAGCCGGACUGAGAGGUUGAACGGCCACAUUGGGACUGAGACACGGCCCAGACUCCUACGGGAGGCAGCAUG
rnacentral:rRNA from 1 species